GCGAGGUAGAGCAAAUCUCAAAAAAACAUCUCAGUUCAGACUGCAGGCUGCAACUCGCCUGCACGAAGUCGGAAUUGCUAGUAAUCGUAGGUCAGCAUACUACGGUGAAUACGUUCCCGGGCCUUGUACACACCGCCCGUCAAACCAUGGGAGUUGGCAACACCCGAAGUCGGUAGUCUAACCGCAAGGAGGACGCCGCCGAAGGUGGGGUUGAUGAUUAGGGUUAAGUCGUAACAAGGUAUC
rnacentral:rRNA from 1 species